rnacentral:lncRNA from 1 species
AAAUCCAACAUGGCGGUGCCGGGAAAGUUUGAUGGUCAUUGUGAAGAAGAGAGUGGGUUAAUGAUCCGAACCACAACAGAACCGACUAACUCUGUUUCAGUAACACUGAGCGGUGCUGGAGGAUUGGACCUGUCUGAGGACUGAAGUCAGAGGACUCUGUUAACCAGCUGAACUCUGAAGUUAAGGUUAGUUAAAGUUAAUGUUAGUUAAUGUUCGUAAAGGUUAGCGGCUAAAGUUAGCUGCAGGUAAAGGUGAGUUCAGAGGAGACCGACCCGGACAGGUGAGCUGGAACUGCUUUAAACACCGUUUUGGACUUUAACUGAGUUUUAUUGGACCGACAGUUAAACGGUAAAAGGCGCGGCGGACGGUCCUCGUGGUAGGAUUGUGCGCGUGCGUGGGCUGACGCGGCUGUACAGAGCUGUAAAAACUAGAUGCUGUCUCAGAGUUUGGUCCUUUUGUCUUAGUGAACAGAGUUUGGUGUUCACCAGAGAUCCUCCUGAUGGAUGAAAUUAUAAUGUUCUCUCUUUUCUCUCUCUCUCUGUCUCUGUCUCUGUCUCUGUCUCUCUCUUUUCUCUGUCUCUCUGUCUCUCUCUCUCUGUCUCCCUCUCUCUCUCUCUCUCUCUCUGUCUCUGUCUCUCUCUCUCUCUCUCUCUCUCUCUGUCUCUCUCUUUUCUCUGUCUCUCUGUCUCUCUCUCUCUGUCUCCCUCUCUCUCUCUCUCUCUCUCUGUCUCUGUCUCUCUCUCUCUCUCUCUCUCUCUGUCUCUCUCUCUCUCUCUCUCUCUCUCUCUCUCUCUCUCUCUCUCUCUCUCUCUCUCUCUCUCUCUCUCUCUCUCUCUCUCUCUCUCUCUCUCUCUCUGUCUCUGUCUCUCUCUCUCUCUCUCUCUCUCUGUCUCUGUCUCUCUCUCUCUCUCUCUCUUUUCUCUCUCUCGCUCUCUCCCCCUCUCUCUCUCUCUCUCUCGCUCUCUCUCGCUCUCUCUCCCUCUCCUUCUCUCUUUUCUCUCUUUCUCUCUCUCUCUCUCUCUCUCUCUCCUCUCUCUCUCUCUCUCUCUCUCUCUCUCUCUCUCUCUCUCUCUCUCUCUCUCUCUCUCUCCUCCUGUUCUUUAGCUGCUCAUGUGACCUCCUCUAAAGAUCACCUGGAUGUUGGAUCUCCAGGUCAGGUGAUCAUCAGCUGACCCCCUGGAUCUGGACACCCCCCCCCUGCUGUCCUGGGACUGAGGAGCUCAGGUAAGACCCCCCCCCCAUGAGAGCAGACCAUCUGCUCGUCCUCACAGGUGUUCAACAUUUUACCUGACAGCCAGGAAGUGAUGAAAUGAAAGGCCGACUGAAGCCCCGCCCACAGCAGUCUGUUCGCAGGGGCGGGGCCGUGACAAAACCGGACUGAAGCGUAUUCUGAUCCCGGCGAUUCAGUUUGUUCUCUCGGCUCCUCAGGUGAGUCUGUACCUGCUGUUCACGCCGCUCUCUCAUUGGCUCUGACAGGAUGGACUGCUGUGAUGUCACCGUAGAGGCCAGAUCUGCUCUCUGAUUGGCUCUGACUGAAGCUGUGAUGUCAUGGUGAGUCGGUGACUUUAAUCAUCCAAUCACUUACCAGAGCUGCUGCUGUGGUCAGAGUGGGCGGAGACACCGCCGGCCUGUGGGAGAUGAUGUGAACAAAAGGCCGAAUUGUAGCGCCCCCACCAGGCAGCAUGUUCUCAGAGUGGGGGCGCCAUGACAAAGACGGACCGAAGCGUUCAUCUGAUCCCUGGUCACGUGAUCAAACAGCUGACUGAGGCGUGUUCUGACCCGCAGGUUCAGUAACUGUGGUUCUCUUGUCACUCAGGUAACACUGAUGCUCCAGGCGCCACAAAAGCCCCGCCCACAGGUGAGUUUGACUGUUUUAAUUUAAUGCCUUUUUGUACCAUAUCUGAUACUUUUAUCAAAUCAAUAUGAUCAACAAAUCACUAAAAACCACCUGAGUACUCUGAGAUCAAUGAUCAAAGUGUCCUCCUGUAGUUCAUCAGUUUCCAAAAACAUAAAUAAAAUAUUAAAUUUUAAGGACAUUUAGAUGUUUUUGUUUUUUAGUAUUAAAUGAAAUAAAGAUUUCAGCUCCAGAAUAAACAGAAUUUUCUGGCUGUAAUUUGUGGUUCCAGGUCUUAAAGGGUCACACCUGGUCUGAACAUGGACAGGUGGUGUCUAUUUGAGCAGUCAUGUGACCUGUGGGUGUGGUCUGCAUCAGGUGUAAUGACCACAGUGAACCUGAUGUGUGGUCAUGUGAUCUCAGCAGCCUCUCUUCUGUUUGCAGGUGGACGUUCAGGAGGACACCUGCGGUCAUCAUGGAGGAGCUGGAACAGGUGGUCAUGAUGGUUAAAACGCCGGUUCUGUCCUGAGCUGCGGUCUGGACCGGUCUGUGGGAUUUCUGUGGAAAAGCUUCAAUGUGACAAAAUAAAACUGUUCAAAUAAAAGGAACUCUGAGGUAAAACUAAA